rnacentral:rRNA from 1 species
UCACCUGCCGAAGCAACUAGCCCUGAAAAUGGAUGGCGCUCUAGCGUCGUGCCUAUACCGGGCCGUCAACGGCAAAGCGGGCUAGUGCCCCGUACGGCUAACGCCGGCGGGCUUGGCCGUUAAGCCUUGACGAGUAGGAGGCGCGCGGCGGUGUGCGCAGAAGGGUCUGGGCGCGAGCCUGCCUGGAGCCGCCGUCGGUGCAGAUCUUGGUGGUAGUAGCAAAUACUCUAGCGAGGGCCUGGAGGGCUGAUGUGGAGAAGGGUUUCUUGUGAACAGCCGUUGCACAAGAGUCAGUCGACCCUAAGCCCUAGGAGAAAUCCGAUGUUGAUGGGCAGCGAUCACGCGGCUGGAAGACGGCACUCGGAACGCGCGGCCCGUCCGCGCGGCCCGGUGUUCGCCGGCCCCGCCGACUGCUCCCGUCGGGCGAAAGGGAAUCCGGUUCCUAUUCCGGAACCCGGCUGCGGAACCGUCACUUCGCGGGCACUCGCCUGCGAGCGCUCGUCGGGGUAACCCAAAAUGACCCGGAGACGCCGGCGGGAGGUCUGGAAAGAGUUGUCUUUUCUUUAUAAGCGUUCGAGUUCCCUGGAAUCCUAUAGCAGGGAGAUAGGGUUUGGAACGCGAAGAGCACCGCAGUUGCGGCGGUGUCCGGACCUUCCCCCCGGACCUUGAAAAUCCGGGUGAGGGCUACGCGGAAAUGUCGCGCCGGCUCGUACCCAUAUCCGCAGCAGGUCUCCAA